rnacentral:lncRNA from 1 species
UCUCUCUCUCUCUCUUCGCCACCCCCUCUCAACAGAGCCCUCGUUUGACCAACGAGCCGUCGUGGCCGACCGACGAACUUCGCAACGGCGGAGGUGGAGGCUGCGCGGUGUUUCGUCAGACGAGGAUUCGGUCAUGACUCGGGGAGAGAGAGAGAGCAGUCAGAAGGGGGCAGCGAUUCAGUGACGGCAGAGCCGGAGAGGCGGCAUGUGGCUUGUCUGACGAACCACGGCGCGGCUCUGCCUCCAGGUUGCCUCCGCCGUCGCGAAGUUCGUCGGUCAGGCACGGUGGCUCCUCCAACAAACCAUCAUGCGGCCUCCACCUCAGCUUCGAAAGGCCGCCUCCACCGUCACGAAGUUUGUCGGUCGACCGCGGUGGUUCGUCGAUCGGACGAGGGGGCAGCGAAGACACCUGCAGAGGAGAGAAGAGAGGAGAGAGAGAGCGCAUGCAGGGGAGGUAGAAGAGAGAGAGAGAGAGAGAGCGUGCAGAGAGAAGAGAAAGAAAAAGGGGAAAGAAGAGAGAGGAGCUUUCAAUGACGUGACAAUUUGGGUCCCACACGUGUCGUGUUCUUCAUGGCUUUCUUGUUUGCCAUAUUUUCUCAAUGAAAACCUCCUCUUCAAGCUAGGAAAUUUUCAAACUUUACCAACUUACUUCACCCAUUUUCCUUAAUAUUCAGUCCGCUAGCUCAAUCAAAGGCAAC